UGGAAUAAUAAAUAUAGUCGCUUUGUUCUCAAACGAACAUUUCAAGUACUGCUAAGAGAUUAGAUCCAAACAAAAAUUUAUAAUAUUCGGCUACUAUUAUACAAAUUUAUCAAAAUCCUAUCUAUUACAUUUAGAGAGAGAGACGUGCAAGUUCCAGCCAGCCCUUCAACUAUAUCAUGGAAAUAACCAAUGUUCUCCAAACGAAUUCUCCUGCAUAAAAAGGUAAUUAGAGAAAAUAAUAGAUAUAUAUGCAAUAAACUAUUGUAGUAAAUUGUAGGACAUUCAAACUAAGAUAACAAUAAAAAUAUGAGUAACAGAGGAGAUUUAUCUCAACAUCAGACCAAAUCUUUGAGCAGAUUUCAACAAAGAAUAAUUAACGUCUCAGAUAGUCCCUCAAAUCUCAAAACUCAUAUUGGCCAUAGGAUCACCAAAAUGAACAAAAUAUCUCUGACAUACAUCCAACCUCCCCAAGAUAAACCUUUCUUCUAUUUGACAGAACUUGCAACAAGUAUAUAAACCCAGCUCUUUGCACUUUCAAGCAGCCAUCACCAUCAAACAUUCUCUUCACACUCACAUAGAAUAGAGGAGUAAGAGGAAGAGAGUAUUGCAGAUAAUUGUAGGAUCAAAGUCCCCAAUCCAACAAAACUUUGCUGAGUUUGCUCCCAUCUAAAAAGGUUAUCUUUGCAAGUUAAAGUCGGAGCAAGAAUUUCAAGUUAAGGAAAUUAAACCAACGAGGUUAAGCGGUGACGACGAGGGGCGAUGUUGAGCAGGAUGGCGAAUGUGUUUCAGUUUGAUAAAUGCUUGGAUGCAUCGUGUCUCCAUACACGAUGUCAUUCUCUCUUGACUCUUCCGCUGCAAUGUAAAUAACGAACUUAUGUUCUUUUGUAUUACGCACUCUGAUACAUUUUGCUAGUUAUUCUAAUUUAAUUUCGUUCA